GAUGAACGCUAGCGACAGGCCUAACACAUGCAAGUCGAGGGGCAGCACAUGAGUAGCAAUACGAUGGUGGCGACCGGCGCACGGGUGAGUAACACGUAUGCAACCUGCCUUCUACUAUGGGAUAACCCGUUGAAAGACGGACUAAUACCGUAUAAUACAGGGGCUCCGCACGGAGAUAUUUGUUAAAGAUUUAUUGGUAGAAGAUGGGCAUGCGUAUGAUUAGAUAGUUGGUGAGGUAACGGCUCACCAAGUCAACGAUCAUUGGGGGUUCUGAGAAGAAGGUCCCCCACACUGGUACUGAGACACUGACCAGACUCCUACGGGAGGCAGCAGUGAGGAAUAUUGGUCAAUGGACGAGAGUCUGAACCAGCCAAGUCGCGUGAAGGAAGACGGUUCUAUGAAUUGUAAACUUCUUUUGUGCAGGAAUAAAGUGGGUUACGUGUAACCUUUUGUAUGUACUGUACGAAUAAGGAUCGGCUAACUCCGUGCCAGCAGCCGCAGUAAUAC
rnacentral:rRNA from 1 species